UUUCCGUAGGUGAACCUGCGGAAGGAUCAUUAUCAUGUAAUUCAGUCCCCUUGGCUGUGUUAUAUAUAUACCCACUCUGUGUACCUUCUCCUGUUGCUUCCGCUGGGUGUGUAAUUCGCUCGGCGGAAGGGUAAAAAUAACCUCUGAGUAUUGAUGAAAUCUCUGUCUGAACCGAAUAGAAAGAAAAAUGUUAAAACUUUCAGCAACGGAUCUCUUGGUUCUC
rnacentral:misc_RNA from 1 species